rnacentral:rRNA from 1 species
AAGACCUUGCGCUUUUGGAGCGGCCGAUGCCUGAUUAGCUUGUUGGUAAGGUAAAAGCUUACCAAGGCUUCGAUCAGUAGCUGGUCUGAGAGGACGGCCAGCCACACUGGGACUGAGACACGGCCCAGACUCCUACGGGAGGCAGCAGUGGGGAAUUUUGGACAAUGGAGGCAACCCUGAUCCAGCCAUGCCGCGUGAGUGAAGAAGGCCUUCGGGUUGUAAAGCUCUUUCAGCCGGAACGAAACGGUUACGGUUAAUACCCGUGACUACUGACGGUACCGGAAGAAGAAGCACCGGCUAACUACGUGCCAGCAGCCGCGGUAAUACGUAGGGUGCGAGCGUUAAUCGGAAUUACUGGGCGUAAAGCGUGCGCAGGUGGUUUUGUAAGUCAGAUGUGAAAGCCCCGGGCUCAACCUGGGAACU